GUAAUCAAUUGGGCACAUCAACAUUUAUCGAUAUAAAUUAGAGACGAUAUCGAUAUGGCGUCAUAAAUAAGCUCUGACAUUUUACAUAUCUCAAUGAGAAAAGGCGUCUGGACUUGUAAGAGCGCAAAGCUCUCGCUCUAGCAUUAACCGCUCUUUGCCUUAUUGACAUUGACCUUGAGCAAGAAGAGUGCGGCAAGUGUCUGUUCCUGGUCGCAGUUGGACCCAGCGUGUGGCCCGAGAUGGCGUUCGAGCAAAGUUAAACAACACUUUGUUUUCUUUCGAGCCCGGUUUGUGUAUUUAUAUACUUAGCCGAUAAGGUAACAUAUCAAAUCAUGUUCACAAUCCAAACACGAUAAUAGUUGGACUUUAUUUCACAUAAGACUCAAGUGUGUUAGGCGCCUGCGCAUUGCCGGAGCCAAACACGCCACCAAAGUCGGGAAUGGGAUUGGGAAUGGGAAUGGGAAUGCGAAUGGGCAGUUAUCAACAUUCGACUUUGCUCUAUCAGCUGUUUUAGAAAAUGUGCGAGAAUCAAUAAAUUGAGUCCAGCACCCACACGAAUUUCUGACUGUACGAUUUGUGGGCCUGUGUCCAUGUCAACAUUGGCCCAUUAUCAUUCGUUAACAAUACCGUAUUUGUUCAUUAUAUGAAUAAGCGUAAAACUCUGUUCGGACUGCUGAAUCAAUGGAAAGUUUUCCGAACAAUCGCCGGGCUAGCAAGUGCUCCAUUUAAUUAAUGCAAGUGUUUCCAUAAAUAUCCCAGAGCCGGAGAAAUUUCGAGAACAUCUGCGUCUGGUUGCCACAAUUUCAGUGUGAAGGUGUGCUCUACUAAAAUAAUAUUCGCUGGCAGAUAUAAUGUACGAAAAUCUCCAAUAUGUUGAAGCUUGACAUCGCCCCCUAGCCAUAAAGCUGAGAAAUACUUUAUUUCCGACUGACCUUUGCUAUAAUAUAUUAAAACUCCGAUCUGAUAUGGGAACUGCCUCUAACAUAAGAUCCUGGCUAUAUCAACUGCGUAGAUGAUACUGAUCAGGAAUAUAUACACAUACUUAAUGAUGUAUUGAAAGCUUGGAGCCUCUAACCUCAAUAGCACCCAAAAAUUUCGUGCAGGCCCGUCUUGCUCCAGGGCAGGGUAUAUUGCUUUACGCUUUACUUUUGAAAAUUUAGUUUCAUUCAAGACUUUUCCAACUACUUAAAUUGACCCUGAACCGCCUCAUCCUUCUCAGCUAGUCAACAUUUCCCUUAAGCUCUUUCAGUUCUUAUGCAACUGUUGCAUUCCAUUUUUGGAAGAGUUCGCUUUCGGCUUAAAUCAAUAACAGGUCUGAUUUGGCGGAAUGGAGGUUUGUCCAGGCCGGCGACUCACCUGCAGUGUGCCCGAGGCAGUGCGAUUCACAUGCGACGUUUGGUAUUCGUAGUCCGUCUCAAUAAACUUAUCGUCCACGUGCACCUUGGGCGAGAUGACUUCCAGUGUUGAAUUUUUGGUUGGCUUCAUUUUCGAUAUGCGUACUUGUACUUUUUGAGAAAUGUUUAUUCGUUUAUUUCGCACUUGUUACUUGUGUAUCGUUCACACUUUUGUUUAUAAUUUAGCGUGUGGUUUGUUUUGUUACAAGCAAUUUGCUGCACACUAUUUGCCGUUUCGGUCAAAGGUCUGAGUUUAGGUCUGGUCAAAGCAAGAGUUCGCUGCUUAAUGAGCAUAAGUGGGAGAUGCGGCCCGCUUUUAUUUACCGCAGCGGCGCGUUUUUUUUUGUUUUUUGUUUCUCUAUUGACUCUUAAUUCUGACAAGAGAACCGCUAUUUGCCGGCUUCGUCGCCAACACAGAGAGCCACAAGCCAAAGAGAGCACGCAAAGGGCGCAUGCAAGUGUAUGUAUGCACACAUUACGUGGGUGUGCUUUGUGCAUGUGUGUGCGCAUGUUUUUGUGUGUGUGUGUGUAAGCCUCAGUGGAAACGAGCAAGUAGUUGUGGCUUGAGAUCGCCGCAUUAGGGUGUACAAAACUAUGGCUAAUUAAUGCUACAAAAUACAUGGAUGCUCUACUCGGGAGUCAACGACUAGCGGAUACCUUGACCAUGACAGAGCUGUAGUCAUAUACACAUAUACAUCCUAUUCAUACAUAUGUAAGUACAUGUACACAAAUACGCACAUACACAGGCUCACAAGCUCUCAUGACGCUUUCCCCCCAGCUUACGCUGUGGCGGCGCUUUCCUAUCCCUUGGCCCCGCAGUAUGGGAAAUGCGUUCCUCAAUAACUUUGGUGUUUUCUUCUGGCCCUCUUCUAGGACUAUAAGGAAAGGCAUUCAUCUAUUUUUGGACGAAAUUAUUGCAAGCGAACAUAUUCUCAUACAAAAUAUACGUAAAUAAGUGGUUGAUGCUCAAGCCAAUUAUACUUGGGAUCCGGGUCUACCUCAACAAUUUUUAAAAAUUUUAUUUUUAUUUUAUUUUUAUUUAUAAUUAAUUAAUUUAUAAUUGGUUCGGUUCAUAGUCAAGAUCCACAUAAAGUAUUACAAUAGUACAAAACCUAUUGCCCGACUUCGAAUGCAGGAAAAACUAUCUAUCAUAUUUGACAUAGACCUGUUAACGCUCGGAAUGGGCAGAGCUGGUCGGAGUGUUUGCGCAUCUGAACAGCAAAUCAGACAACAAGUGAACACCUAAUUAUCUUAUUUCCGUGACGCUUCUGCAGCCUCGAGAGCGGAGCUCUCCGUCCAUCACUGUGGAUGCUCAGUUGUUGUGGCUUACUGGAACUUUCCACUGUUGCAGUCAAUUGAAUGCAAGCUGCGCUCAAAUUACAAUUUGUUUAUCAAUAUAAACGGGUUGGGCUCCGAAGCGAGGCAUGGGAUUCUUCUGGAAAUUGCAUAAUUGCGUAUUGGCUAGCUCCAGCUCUGUAAAAUUUCCAUGAAAACUUUUCCAUUAGAGCCUGAAACCAAAUAUUUAUCGAAUCUAAGACUAACUCGGAUGAAGAGUCAGAAGCGAUGCCUGAUCUCAAAGUAAAAGCAAGCCUUUGAUAUUGUACAAAUUGAAGAAUAUUAUGCAUUUUGAUAAACAAAAAUAUAAAAACAACAACGAAUUCAAUUUAAAUGCUUAAGGUAAAUAGAUGUACAAGCUAACAAGA